AAAACUCAUAUCUGGCUCCAAACUAGCUUCAGUCCUGUGGUCACGAAUAAGCUCCUUGUUCUUCAUUUGCUUCAUAUACCAUCUUGUGCAUAUCCUGUAUACAUGUCACAAGGUUCAGUAACUCAGAACAAAUAUGUUAUGAACCAUGAAAAUUUACUCCAAAAAUGAUUGUGUAGUGUAGAUUUAAAAUUAGUUGGAUAUGGGCCACAUCCACAAUGGGUGUAGACUAUUGAUUCCUUUUUUUGAGUAAUUUUCUUGGUAAAUUUUCUGAGCUUGUAGCAUUACUUAACUUAGAAAGUCCAAGAAAACAAAAUCCAAUAAAUAUAAUAUUUGUGUGUGUUUGAUCUGUUUAUGAAAAAAAUUCCGUCACAGAGGGUAAAUUGCCUUUCAUUAGAACAAUGAAGAAACAAUUUAAUUUUCAUAAUGAUGCAAGUCUCUUGUGUAUAUAGUGCAAAUCCAUUCAUGUGUGUAUACUGUAAAUCAAUUCCUGUGUUCGGUACAAGUUUUCAAAGUCGCACAGAAAAAGAUUUCAUAUAUGGUACAAUUACUUUAUGACUGUCCCACUAAUUUAAAAUUUCUU